rnacentral:rRNA from 1 species
GAGUUUGAUCAUGGCUCAGAUUGAACGCUGGCGGUAGGCCUAACACAUGCAAGUCGAGCGAGAACGCCCCUUCGGGUGUUAUGAGAGUGGCGGACGGGGGAGGAACGCGUGGGAAUCUACCCAGUAGCGGGGGGUAACUUGUGGAAACGCAAGCUAAUACCGCAUACGCCCUAAUGGGGGAAAGCAGGGGAUCUUCGGACCUUGCGCUAUUGGAGAAGCCUGCGUCGGAUUAGCUAGUUGGUGGGAGGUAAAGGCUCAAAGGCAACGAUCCGUAGCUGGUCUGAGAGGAUGAUCAGCCACACUGGGACUGAGACACGGCCCAGACUCCUACGGGAGGCAGCAGUGGGGAAUAUUGGACAAUGGGCGCAAGCCUGAUCCAGCCAUACCGCGUGUGUGAAGAAGGCCUUCGGGUUGUAAAGCACUUUAAGCAGGGAGAAAAAGUUAUAAGUUAAUACCUUAUAAGCUUGACGUUACCAACAGAAUAAGCACCGGCUAACUCCGUGCCAGCAGCCGCGGUAAUACGGAGGGUGCAAGCGUUAAUCGGAAUUACUGGGCGUAAAGCGCGCGUAGGUGGUUAGGUAAGUUGGAUGUGAAAGCCCCGGGCUUAACCUGGGAACUGCAUUCAAAACUGCCUAGCUAGAGUACGAUAGAGGGGGGUAGAAUUUCAGGUGUAGCGGUGAAAUGCGUAGAGAUCUGAAGGAAUACCAGUGGCGAAGGCGGCCCCCUGGAUUGAUACUGACACUGAGGUGCGAAAGCGUGGUAGCAAACAGGAUUAGAUACCCUGGUAGUCCAUGCCGUAAACGAUGUCAACUAGCCGUUGGAAGACUUGAUCUUUUAGUGGCGCAGCUAACGCAAUAAGUUGACCGCCUGGGGAGUACGGCCGCAAGGUUAAAACUCAAAUGAAUUGACGGGGGCCCGCACAAGCGGUGGAGCAUGUGGUUUAAUUCGAUGCAACGCGAAGAACCUUACCAGGUCUUGACAUCCCGAUAAGUCGCUAGAGAUAGCUUCGUGCCUUCGGGAACUCGGUGACAGGUGCUGCAUGGCUGUCGUCAGCUCGUGUCGUGAGAUGUUGGGUUAAGUCCCGUAACGAGCGCAACCCUUGUCCUUUGUUGCCAGCACGUAAUGGUGGGAACUCAAAGGAGACUGCCGGUGACAAACCGGAGGAAGGUGGGGACGACUUUAAGUCAUCAGGGCCCUUACGACCUGGGCUACACACGUGCUACAAUGGCCGGUACAGAGGGCUGCUAACCCGCGAGGGGGCGCGAAUCCCAGAAAACCGGUCGUAGUCCGGAUCGCAGUCUGCAACUCGACUGCGUGAAGUCGGAAUCGCUAGUAAUCGCGAAUCAGAAUGUCGCGGUGAAUACGUUCCCGGGCCUUAUACACACCGCCCGUCACACCACGGGAGUGGGUUGCAAAAGAAGUCGGUAGUCUAACCUUCGGGAGGACGCUCACCACUUUGUGAUUCAUGACUGGGGUGAAGUCGGAACAAGGUAACC